CAAACACACGCCGCGUGUGUGUGUGUGUGUGUGUAUGUAUAUAUAUAUAUAUAUAUAUAUAUAUAUAUAUAUACAUACACACACACACAUACACUGCUGUGUGUGCUGU